GCGCACUUGGUGUAGUGGUAACAUAUAUGCCUCCCGGUGCUUACGUCGACAUGACGCUAAUGCUCUACGAGGUUACGCAUAUGCCCGGGGUUCGAUUCCCCGAGUGCGCA
rnacentral:tRNA from 1 species